rnacentral:rRNA from 1 species
UACGGGGGGGGCAAGCGUUGUUCGGAAUCACUGGGCGUAAAGGGCGUGUAGGCGGUCAGGUAAGUGGGAUGUGAAAUGCCCCGGCUCACCCGGGGACCGGCAUCCCAUACUGCUUGGCUUGAGUACGGGAGAGGAUGUGGGAAUUCCUGGUGUAGCGGUGAAAUGCGUAGAUAUCAGGAGGAACACCGGUGGCGAAGGCGCACAUCUGGCCCGAUACUGACGCUGAGGCGCGAAAGCUAGGGGAGCAAACGGG